CGGUGGAGGGUGAAGUGGCGUGCCACGACAGAUGCAGCCUCCCCAUUGCACGGGUACGACCUCUUCGCCUGUGUUUUCUUCUCUCCUCUCGUAGGGAUCUAACAAGCGCUGGAAGCAUGGCGGACUUGGACAGGCAUGCAGAGCUCCCUCGCAGACCUACAAGGAGGACUUCGAAGCUCUCUCGGUGACUGACACCGGAAUGGAAAUCAUCACGGAUAAGGCCAGGGGCAACGAACUGUACGCCACACGAGACUUCGAAAUGCGCAGUGCCAUUCACGAAGAGACGGUGCUCUGCUGCUCGCAAAGCAUGGACGACUUUAAGGAUGAGGCGCCGGUGUGUGCUUGUUUGCAGUCGCUGGAGACGCCGCGCACGCAGGAGAUGCGCAACACUCGGCGCAAAACAACAACAAAGAAACAGCGCUGGCCCUCUUCUACCCGGGUCUGCAAGCGCCACUGGAACGAGUGCCCUGAUUGUGGUUGGGGCGGGGCUGCCGAGACUCCUUUUUUCGCUCUGGUAACUACCGUGAACGCGCUCUGAAGAAGUUUCGCCAGGAAAGCUGCGCCGGCCGCAUGAAGGUGUCCCAGCGCAUAGGCUACUCCAAGCGAAUGCAGCAGGACUGGGUGCGGGGCGGCGCAAAUUGCAGCGAUUCCGCGAUGGUGGGAUCGUGCAUCGGCGCGGAGACACCGCGUGCUCAUCUUCUGCACGGAGCCUGCCGCUAGCAUGCCUUUGGCCGUCCGCGCAGCUCAUUCACACACAGCAGCACCUCCUUCACGUACUACAUCAUGGAAGACAAUCCGACGAAGAUCUCAGGCGGUGCCGCGGCUGCAGCGUACGCGGCCGCCUUCGCGACUGGCAAGUGCGACUCGAUGCCGGUUCCUGCAGUGAGGCCUGCAUACACACAGCCGGCGCGGAAUGCGGACACCUUCUGCGCCUCCAGCCUCGACCUCCUCUGCGACCUGUUAGACAUGGACUCCGAGGAGCGUGCCUUUGCGCACGCGCGGCGGUGGCCGGACCUCAUGGGGGCGGUGCUGCUCAAUGGCAGGAACGGUAGCCACCGGUGUUUUACGAGAUGCACCGGGAACUCGUCAACUGUGCGGCCGAUGGCGGACGAUGCAUGGGCGCGUCCAAGUGGGAGGGGGGGGGGGUGGCAGUUUUCCCCGACUAGCAGCGCGAAGGACGUGACUAACUUUUUGCGCAGCUCGCGUAGACAGGGCAUCCGCUGAGUUGGGUGGCUCUUCAACCAUUCGUGUGGGCCGAAGCUCAACGUGCAGUAGGCCGCUGUGAACGAUGUUACCCUGACUGUCGUGGCGCUGCGGGAUGUGAAGGCGGGUGAGGCGCUCAUUUUCAGCUAGGCCGACUCAAGCUUUUUGCUCGUGGUGCGCCAACAGGAGCUGUUCGGACACUACCUCGUGGAGUGUGGGUGCCCUCGCUCUUUUGUGGAGAAAAGGGGGAAUGGGAAUAGGCGAGUGAAGGGGUGGGGGUGGAGCGACAAAAAAAGGGUGAGGGAAGUCGGCGCUGGUGUCUCACGACGCAAACAUCUUUGUAUCACACCCCUUCCAUUCUGCUUCCCUGCGACCUCGGGCGGUGUGUGGUACGCGGCGCGGUCCACCGCCAACGAUGGGUGUGCUUUCCACGGUGGCACUCAAGGCGCGGAUAGAGAUGUGUGUGUCGCAGAGUCGGUCACUUGUGCGGGUGCUGAGGCCUGGGGGACUCAGUCGUCGGAUAAUGUGUGACGGAUCACACGAGUUCGCGCCGGUGGAACUCUUGCACGUCUGGUGACCGGCUGGCGCGGUGGAGUCGUGAUGGUGUGGCGGCGUGGGUAUCCGUGUGUACAAUGCUGCAGCCGUGCGAGAGGCGGAUGCGCCAGUUGGAAUGCGUGAGCCCGGAUGUGUGUGGCCGUCUUGCGAUGAUCGGGAUGCUUGUUCGGCUACCGGCCGCGCCAUAGGCGGUGCAUGUGGUGGCCAUGACUUCUAUUUCUUUUGCUUUUCUUCCUCGCUGAACUGCUCGGGCGCCGGCGACGGCGCGUAACUCUGCAGGC
rnacentral:misc_RNA from 1 species